AGACUCUUGUCGUCCGUUUGUCAUUUAGAGUCGGUUUCCUCUGCGCACUGUGUCACUCUUAUUCGUUUGAUCAGCACCAGUACAAUCUACGCAUAUACACUAUAGAGUGCGAGCUAUGAAAGAGAGAGUCCCUAAAGGCAGCUCAGUCUCUACGAUACUAUAGGAGGAUGGAGUCAUCCGUCGCAGCAGCUCUGUAGUUCCACACGCGGAGUCGGAGUGAGGGCCAAACGGACUGGCAAAUGCGACCAGUGGGACGAUAGGACGCGAAGAGACACGCAAGCGGCCACCAUUAAGCGCGUCUGACGGUGAGCGUCGCUCGGAUAGGCCAACAAAUCACGGCCGCUAUGGGGAACCAAUAAAACGCCGACACGGCUGCUCCAGUUCUGCAUGAAAGUGAACAGGCAACGAGCCAACGUGAACCACUUGACUGACUGGAUAAGGAGCCGAUCCGUCGAGUUGGACGAUCUCGCCAACACAUUGGCAGCUGAAGCGUCGCAGGCCGUGGCUUCAACGAGAGCGACACCUGCACGCCUCGCCUCUUGACCGGAACAACUCUCCAGUCGCACCGUCCAGCAAUCUUGUGGCCGACCAGACUCGGCAGCAGCACCACUAUCGGAAAACGUCGUUAUGACGUCUCGCUUGCAAAGCAAUAAACCAGUUCCGAGUGCCCGUGAGGAUCCAACGGAUGGACCGAACAAAUCUGUUGGUCUAUUGGCCCGUUGGUGGGGGACUUUGCUCGUUGACGACGGCGGACUCGAGCGGAUCAAAUAGAGGCAGGACAUCAAUGCAAAAGGAUAAACGUCCACUCUAUGGAAGUCAAAUGGCCGAUGCAAUUCACGAAACCGAGGACGGGAAGAGACGACGUCCACCAGGAGGAGGAGGAGGAGAAUCCGCGUGCGCACUCAUGGAAAGCCGCCGCUCAACUGAAAACCUCUUCUCCUCAUAUCGCCCUCUUUCUUACAUUCACCACUGCGAGUCCCAUCUGUAAAAAAAGAGAGGGAGGGGGUCCCGAACGACGACCAGGAUGCUAUCGUUUGUGUGUGUGUGUGUGUGUGUGUGCUACACAGCAGUAUAAAGUACAGGAGCAGGGCGGUCUUGUUAGCCUCCCACUUUCUCUCUAUCCGUAUAGUCAUCUAUUCUUCGUAUCCAUCUAUUCGGAUGGCUAUACGGAUAGUUUCGUUUCAUUCUUUACCGCUAGUGGCUUGCCGUGACUGCUGGAUGCGCGUGCAGACAACAACAGCCCAUCGGGAUUUUUUGUUUCGUUUUCUCCUCUUCUUUUCCUUCGUUGUAUUAGCCAUGAUGCGGCGGGUGCAGGAACACGUACGCAGGUUCUAUUCUUAUAAUAUCAGCUGGCGUGCCGAGUGCCCUUGCAGUUGGCGAUUCGUGAUUUUAGACAAAUAAAGACACAACAACAACAACAACAACAAAAUAACGGGAGGGGGAAUCCGGUUGGUCUUGUAUUUUCAUUUUUAGCCGCUUUUGUUUGACCGCUGAUGCACCAGCUGUGCUGGAUGCAGCUAAAGCAUGGGACGAGACACCAAUCGGAUGGAUAAAGUGGAACGUGUGGAAUGAAGAGCCUCAGAUUUGCCACCAUUUCAUUCCGACAUGCUGAAUCCCAGCGAGUCUUACGAAACUAUCUUGUUGUUUUGUCUAUACGUCAGCACUGCAUCAUCCAGACGCCCCAUAUUUCUGUGCUGAAUCAUAAAUGCGCUAUAUGAUAUGUAUUAGGCUAUAGUGCACAGAAUAACGAAUUUCGGAAGGCAACUUGUUUACAUAUAUCUACUGAAGGAGGCCUCACGCUCUUCUUUGUUCUACCUAUUUUGUUGUUAAUGAUCGCACUCGGCAGUUGAGCGAGUGUUGCCCUCAUUGUAAGGAUUCUCAUCGAUCCGUCGCUUUUAGCAGUUCCUAAUGGACUUUGUGACAGCACGUGAAACAAUAACAGAUGGAAAGGCCAAGGGACAAUCAGCUAUCAUCACGACGCCUUUAGCCUUUGCAACAUUGCAACGACGCUGGCCAUCAUUUGUCAUCGGCAGCAGCUCAAGAUGCCCUCCUCUUCGAAAGGUAUAACACUGAAAGGAUUUUGCCAUUGGUUCGUGCUACAAGAUUCGAAUUCAGCGUCUCCAAUCGAAUCGAUCGCUGCCACUAGAAAACAUUUCGCUCCACUUCUUUUGUCUGUUCCCCGAUGAAUUGCUCAUCCCUUUGGUUUGACACACGAAAAUGGCGAGGACGGCGUUCGAUACUGCCGACAGCAAUCGUUCAUUAGAUCACGUCGGCAAGAGUCACGACCGGGACUGACUUGUUACCGUCACGUAUGGGAUGUGCUCUCUAACCCUGGCAUAAUGUCGGCCAAUCUGACGAUGAGUUACGUGGAUUGCAUUAGGUUUAAACGCUGCAUCUCGCGCCCGAGUUAUUCUGUCACGAGUGCAAUUUAAAAAACAGACUCGAUCGCUGUAAUGGGACAUUUAAAUUUAGACAGACGACCCACGUGAUGCGCGUUUGGUCCACUAGUCACCGGCCAUCCAAAUCCAAGAAAACGACGUGAUGUUGAACACGUCGCCAAAAACAUGUUUGUCGGCAUAUUUUUCGGACCAGAUCGAGAGUUCCAUUAAGGUCACCAACAACAGCCUACAACGUCAUUGAAACUUUGGUUCGUUUGAGUGUACAUCGGACGUGGAUUUUCAUUGCACGGCCAUCAGUGGAUUCAACGAUUCACGUUUCCUUUGAAAAUCUCAAUAAAGGGUUGCAGCUGCGACGCGAAUAAGGGAAUGUCGGAAAGCGAGAAAAGUUGACGACGGGAGUCGUUGUUGCCAUGGUUACCGGGCCCUCAUAAAUUGUACGCGCUAGUGUAUCUCUCUGACGUUGGCGAAUCGUAUCGACCUCUUUCGCAGUUUCUUUCUCUUCUCCUCUGCACGGCACAGGAUCAGACAAGAUAGUCGUCGCCCUCUCCAGUUCUGUCUUUGUGACGGUCGCGAUCUUGUACCGCAGUCACGCUGAACUUUUGCUCAGUUAUACGGUUGGGUUUUGUUUUUGAUUUCGUCUCUCUUUGUCUAGCCUCUCCAUGUCUAUGAUAGGGACGUAUGAAUAAAAUAUUAAAAAACGAGGGUAGAUGUGUACGUAGGACUUUUAAACUUCGGCGUUCGGCAGCGUGCAUUGUUUCUUUAUCGACGUCAUGAUGGAAAAAUCCUUUCGUCAAUACCUUUAUCGAUCCUUUCUUCGAUGAAAUGACGAACAAAGAACUGACGUGCAGGGUGUACACAGACACGAAUUCAGAGCAUGAUCGGCAUUCUCCUGACAAGAUCGACGUCAGAAUUUCAAAUCAUCAAUUUGGAUUUAUUGAAUCUGAACCAAUAUAUAGCUGACAACUGUCAUUGACAACGUGGCUGCGACCGUCCAGCCCACCUGCUGCAUUUCAAAGUCGAUAUUGCGCAAUUAGAACAUUGGGGCGUGUACGUUCAAGGUUCUUUGGUUUGCGUGAAAGAGGCCAGUAACUAAAGGUCAAUGGGUUUUGUUUUUGCACAUCAGUUUUUGAAGAUGAACGUAGCCACUUGUACACACUAGACGACAAACAAACAUUUUGGAUUAAUAGGCAAUGACCCUGAUGAUAUUCGUGCUGCCUUAGUACUUUGACCUUCACCUCUGGCAUCGGGACAAAUUCCCGAUUGAAUUAUUAGAAUGCCAGAUGAUUAGCGAGUCAAAACGGGGCUGCAUCAGUGCCACUCCAGUCUUUCACGCGUACUACCGUCGUGACGUGUUUCCAUGACUGAGGCUGUGACAAGAAUCACUCGUGUGAUCUCGCUGUCGCUAUUUACUGAGGAAACAAAAACAAUUUGCCUAUAGCAACGAGUUAUAUACAGACAUGUUCUAUAGUUCAAUUUAUGUUCCUAACGUUUUCCCAAAAGUUAUUAGCUGAAACCGAGCUGACAUGAAAAGUAGUUGAACUGGAAGUCAUGGCAACUGUUGCCGAAUCAAGUGUACUUUACCCCUAUCUACCUCCUAGCAAUAACUCGUUACAAAUAUAAAGUUAGUGAAAACUAAUGGACCAUCACUAGUCUCAGUGCGCAGACUAUUUUUUGAAGAGUUUCUUAUAGGUCGAGUGUAUAUCCAAUUGUGAAAAUCAGACCGGUAGUUGUUUGUAAAAUGUAAAACUUUAAAAUGAAACUUUUAAAGAGUUUAUCGCAGCAAAAAGGUGCCAUUCCCACAGGUGCCUCUGGUGGUUAUGCAAGACGAAACUAGUCGGAGGAAAGGAGAGUAGGUAAUGAGUGCACGGAGGAUGGGGUAUCUAAUUUUAUAAAGCAAUAAUGGAGGAAGGGGGACGUUCACCACAAAAAAUCUUUGCCGUUUCCAAGUAUUUAACGCCUCGGGUUGCAUAAAAACAAAUGCCGCUCACAAGCUGUCCAGAUGGAUUAGUCCUAGGUAGUGCAGCACACGCAACAGCUGGGAGUCAGAACUGGGGCAACGACUCAACCGUCAACUUUAAAUAUUCUGUGCACUAACAUUCACAGCACAGUCACUUGUUAGACACUAACUUGAUGAAUAUCCUGCCAUUUAGUGAACUCCCAAAGGUUUCCAGACGUCGACCCUGAAUUUUCAGAUCUCAAUCGAUCGUCACGUCCACAGAGAGAGAGACACGCCCUUCAAUUAAGAUCAAACAAAUUCACCUUGGGAUGUUCAUCCGACAUACAGCGAUCUGGCGCCGGUGUUAACAAGCCUGUAGCUACAUCUUCAACCGGCCAUUGUUCUAGUUUUUGGACGUAUUCAACUCGAAAGGGUAUCCAAUUUUACAAUAUGAUUGUCAAACGCUUUGUGUGGAAGAAUGGCCCUUUUCUGGAAGUCGAUUUUGCUAGACAUUAAUCAAUGCAUAUAGAUUCAAUACGUCAAACUAUGAACCUGUCUUGACAAACGCUAGGCAACUGUAGUCUGCUAAGAAAUCAAUUCGGCGUUGCAUAAAACGACCCGACAGUUGCUAUGACGACAAGUAGACGAAUUUUCAAUUGAAACCGUUUUCAGCUGUUUGCGAAUGAUAGCCAGGAGACGUUCAUCCGACAAGCAUUAUUUCAAGAAAUGCCUUAAUCAAUUGCAAUGACGUAACGUGUACAAGUUUGGUUGGUUGCGUCAAUGCUAAAAUAAAAACCCAAUGCUGUUGACUUGAACGACGACAGGUAAAAUCUUCAAUCUGCGACUGAACAAGUUCAAUUUUUAUUUCGUUUCUUACCGAGGUCGUCAAUGAGUGGAGCUAAUCGCAACGUAAUGCCGACCAUGAAGAGACAGGUGAAAAGGAGGAAGACGGAGGUGAGGAUGACGAUGCCGCGCGCACGGCGGCGCGGAUUAUUGCUUUCAUCCGAAGACGAGAAUGAAGUUUUAUUGGCCACCCCAACUGUGACCACAGCCACGGCGGCGAUGGCGGAUGCGGCUACUUUGACUGACGCAGUUUUUGAUCCGUCAGCUGUUGCCCGUGACCGACGGACUUUCUUCUUCUUCUUGUUGGCUGUCGAAGCGAAUGGGACGUCGUUGCUUAGUACCACUUCGUAUUUGGGCGCUUGGUGCAGUCCAGCCUGGGCCAGCAUUGGCUCAGGUGACAACACGACGAGCUCCGGGUUGGCGUUUUUGCGGGCCACCACCAAACGCGUGCCGAUUGCGGCUAGAGGUGGCAGCACGACGCAAUCCUCGUCCAGCCCGUUGGCACCUUCUGCCGGCCGUUUCGUGUAUCGCACUCGCUCGUCGAGCACUUGCUCGACUUUCCGCAGCUGCUCGUCAUCGUCGCGUUCAUCCGCUUUCGCCUGAUGUCUGUCCAGCCGGCCCUGAUGGCUGCCGACCGGCGACGGUUUCGGCGUAACCGAUUGUCGAUGCAUGGAACUAGAGGACAAAGACAAAUCGAGGAACGGCGUCAUGUCAUCACUUUUGGCAACCGAGUCGUGGCGAGCGCGGACUCCACCCGAGCCGCCUAGCAGAUGAGUUGCGACGGGCGGCGCAUCCUGAUGACUGGCGUCGCACGAACGCCAACUGCGUUGCUCUCUGGUGUCGGCCAGCAGGCGUCGACGAUUGCAGUGUCCACCAGCGGCGGAUGACGUUCCGGCCACCGAUUCUGAAUGCGUCGUCGACUGGCGGAGUAGACGCGGACGUGUUGCUGCGGUGGCAGUGGCAGUUGAUGCUUGUCGAUGCUUUUGAUAUUGGUAGUCGUAUUGAUUGUCUGAAAAGCGUUUGACGAUGGACGACGACGUGGCCGAUGGGUUGUUACCUGAUUUGCGUUUGCCCCCCGCGGCGGUGCCGGAAAACUGGUGGAGCGUCUCAUCCGACUGAUAAUAAUGAUUCAAUUUGUGGUAGGAGAGUUGGCGGAUGAGUUCCGCACCGGAUGCUCUUGUGGCUAUGGAUGUGGCGGAUGCUCCGCUUGCCCCGUAGCUCAACCUCGGCUCUCCCACCAGUUCCUUCUUCCGCUCUGUUUCAUUCGUCAUUUCCGAUAAUUUUCACACAAAAUUCAUCGAUUGAGGCUCUACUUUAAGGCCUCAUCCAUCCGAGUUUACCUGCUCCCUUUUUGUUUUUGUUUUUUUGUCUUUUAAACGUUCAUUUUCGUCUGUCUGUUUUCAGAUUUAUUAAGUCUGGCCUUUUAUUCUGGGGCAGUCAAUAGUGUUGCAUUAUUGGCGUGUUCGUCGGUAACUCAUUAGGAGAAAGGUGAUGGCCGUUCGCACAUAGCAGAAGAAUUUAUUCUACCGGCCCGAUCCAAUCAACAGUCGCGGCCAUUGAUUUCUCGGCGGCGCGCUUGCGUCGUCCGCCUCGUUCGCAAACUCUUCCCAAGUCGCAGGCGAUUCUUAUCUUUCCUAUCACAACGUGCAGCCUAACGGUCUACUCCUUGAUCAUCGAGUCUUUGUCCAAAAUGUCGGACCUGAUAGACUCGCCCCUUUCGGGGGGGCGACUCUUUAGCCCCCGUCAGCAGUUGAUGAAAGAAAUGACAACUGCAACUGUUGCUGCGCGAUGGUCUAGUGAGCACAAGUUCCGAAUAAAAUAGACAUGGGUCAGUUCCAACCAGAUGGGGCAAAGGAAAACCAAUUAUCGAGCAUGGACUUGGAAGCCCCGACACCAGGUGUGCGUCAAUAAAUCGACCGAGUAGACGACGCUGUUGGAUUAUCGGACGAUGGACUCGAAGAUGCGCAUCACUUUCAUCUAGACCCCGUGUCUCCGUCUUCUGACGAACGAUGGAUGACAAUAUAGGAAGAACUACUCGAGACACAGCACACGAAAAAAAAAAACUGAAGACUUGGAGAUGGUGCGGUGAUUGAGCACGUUCUACGCUAUGCGAAUGAAUAGAAGAUAGGAGACCAAUGUUCAAAUGGAGUCGGCCAUUGGAGAAAGGACAACGACACGACCACCGUCUACGAGUCUGCUACAACGACUGAAAACUCUACUACAACGACAGAGCUCACCUGGCCAACCACCACCACACGCUAUCACCACUCUGCUGAUGUUUCCUCUCUCUCUCCUUCUCUCUCUGCCCUCUUUUCUCCUUUUCUUUGAAUCCUGCCCUUUCCUUGCUAUCUUCUUCUUUUUCUUUUGCCCUCUAGCGCCUUGACAGUGUGUGCGUGACGCAGCAGCAUCACAGACAUCGACGUCUUGGGCAAAACUAUACUUUCACACACACACACUGUAUAAACUACACGGCAGAGUGUGUGUCCGCUGCGCCUACGUGUCCCCCGGUUCGAUGUGUGAAAUGUAAGUGCUGCUGGGAACGGGACUGAUGCUCGGCUGAGAGUGUCGAGUCUUUGUAUCUCGUAUGGGAAUGUGUGACAUGUACAGCAGGGCCCAUGUGGAAAGGGCCUGGUGCGUAUCAAGGAUGGCUGCAUCCAUUGCAUUAUGUCUCUCACGCACAGUCUACUUGACAGCUAACGAUGCAGAUUUCUUACUUGGUUUCUCUUUCGCAAGCUGCUGUUUAUGCAGCAUGUCUUAUUUGCCACGGCUCAGCUGCCAUGAUUGUUGUUGAUACGCGCGUUAGGGAGACGUGCGCUGUUUGUUUUGAGAUCAAGUCAACGUCAUCGCUGAUCAAAUCAAGUAUAUGCUCUUAAUGCUCAUUAUUUUUGGGACAUGUGACAUUAAACCAGCGUUUCAUUUCUAAACUUGACUUUGGCAAACGACCCGAGCGUGGCCACCGAAGACGACGACGUCGACAUCAACAUCGACAUCAAAAGGAAGGAACCAGAGUCGAGCCCGAAUCUGUCCUCUCUGCAUAUAUCGUGGAUUGGCAUUGAAAGUGAGCUGGGCUUCGCAGUGGCACUGAAACUCGAACCUGGAUCCUAUCCAUUAUUAGGCUGCAUGCUGACUAAUAAUGCUAAGACAAUCAAUCAAUGGCCGCAGCAGCGGAACGAGAAAACAACGAAAUGGAACACUGCAGCCGCUAACAAUUCGACAUGCAUAUCUUUCGGGGUGUCGAAGCCAGAAGGUAAUCAAAUCAUUCGGUGAGAUCAAGAGCGAUGCCGCAAUAUCCUCCCCUCUGAAUUGUUGUUCACUAAAUGAAGCGACACGGAACACGAGCAGCUGAUGAUGAUGACGCAGGAAAAAACCAAUUAAGGACAAGAGUUGAGAGCAGCGCAGGGGUCAACCGUCUAACAAUGCGGCGGCUGAGACUGGACACCCCACUACUGUCCUGUAGUUCCAACACGAUGAUGUUGUUUCGUCUGCACGGUGCUCCUCGACACGGUGCCGGUCGGCGCAGCGGUCGAGACUUCAAACUGAAGACCACCGUCUCAGAGGCGCGACUGCCAUAGUCGGUUGUAGAACCAAAUAUAGUAGACGACGACGACGACGACGCCCGAUGGGGAGAAACUUGGGGAGGGGAUAUACGGAUAAAGCGGAGAAAAGAGCGAAACAGAAGAAGAGAAAGAAGAAGACUAAACGAAGAAGAAGAAGAAGAAGAAGAAGGGAGAAAAAAACGUUUUCUGGCAGCCAGUCGGUGCCAAUUGUAGUGGACUGCGUAUACAUCGGCAGCCACUACAUACACAUACACCGCACAAGACGAUGCAUACACACACACACACACACAGCGCGCACUUAUUCGGGGUAAGAGCUGGGGCGCAGUCCAUCACACCCACAUGGCCUUCUAUCUCUUUAUGCAUGUCUAUGCCACACACACAUGGAGUGAAAGCGGACGGGAAUUCAGACACGGCUCUUUUCUUCCCGUUUCUAUUGAAGGAGAAUUGAAGGAGUCAGAUAGGAGACGGAGUUUAUCUUGCAAGCUGAAAGGGCCAAUACACGACGCUGAUGGACCGAAAAGAUUCCAAAGGCAAAACAGGCAGACGGUCAGCCAAAGAUUUAUACGAACGGACAGAGUGACAGUGACGGAUCGCUUCGUAUUGAAGCAUCGCUCAUGUCUAUAGGCUCUGUAUAUAGGCUCUGUAUAUAGGUCUGUAUAUAGGCUGCACAAAAAGAAAACGAGGUAAAGUCAAUCUACCAGCCUUUUAUUUCUCUCUUUUUUUGUUGUUGGAAGGGGUCUGUUUUCAUUCUCUGGCAAGGGCAAGCAUCGCAAUGGACCAUCUAAGAAAAACCUAAUAAUGUUUGCGUCCCUCUAUAUGAGUUAAUGCAGCAUUUUCUAUAUCGGACAUAAAGACCUAUAUGUACAGAUCCAAUCUAGUAUAGGCCAUAGGCAUUAAGAGCAAGAAGGGGCAGUUGGGCCGUACGUACAAACGCGCGCAUGAGCUUAGCGCAGGGUGUAUACGUGUCACGGCCAUGUCCCGAAACGAAUAGCUCGGCAGGAUGCAUGACAUGCAGCAAUUCUGCGGUGAAUACAAAUUGCCUCAUGUGCGUGAAUAAUUUUUGCGUUUCGCAGUCUGCGCGGGGUUGUUUUAUAGGCGGCCGAAAGGAAGGCGAUUCGUUUGGCGUUGGUCGACAGUCGCUUGGUGCAUGUUUAUAAUCGAGUGUCGAUCAUACACGUCCUAAACAUUGAAUGCAAAGACACGCGAAAUAUUGCGUCACAAUUCGCCUAGGAGGCACGCGAGGCUGCCGACGCGACAUUUAUGGCACGCAAACGGAAAAUGUGGAUACACACAAGCGCCAAUAUCUCCAUGUUUGUUGUAACAGCAACGUCGCGACUGCCAUCAUUGAUAUUCGUCUUCCUUCCGGUCCUGCCCUGCGCUGCAUAAUGCAAUACAACAACAACAUCCUUAUGCGUGUCUACAUGUAUACUUUCACUUCAUCUGUCGUUCCUUCAUUUGAUCUUUAUUCCCGCGUACAGCGCAGCUCAACAACAACAUCUUUAUGCCCGUUUGGUAUAAAGAAUUUUAUGGGCAAGCCCAUGUACGAUACGAGAGUUGUUGUUUGACGAUUCCUCUACAUCUACUCACUGAUGUUUGGCUUUCCGAUGUGUCUACGUUCAGAAACCAGCCGCCACAUCCUGAACAAACUACGCCAUUUUAUUGUGUCAUAUAACCCAUUGUGUUUGCGUCCCGUCUGACACAACAUAACACGAAGGCGCCUCGUCAAGACAAUAUGGGGAAAGAAUAUCAUUCGAUGCCGAGUGAUGGCGCGCCUGAUGCUACCAGUUUGAACAACAAAUGCACAACAUCAUGUAAAUCCCCAAACUAUUCGAUGUGCAAAGUGUACACGUGUUCGUUGCGUCACCUAUUGUCCAACGAUCAUUUGUGUUAUUGCGAUAUUGACAACAGGUUGAAACGUGACCAGGACGAAGCUCAGCAUCGACGCAGCGCUCGUCAACGAGAAAUGUGAUGGCUGUGCCGAGCGAAAAUGCGAUCGACUUCUAGCAGCAUAGAUCGGACAUUUUGUCGGUUCGUUGCUCGUUUAGGUCACUGUUUCUGCUACGUAUUGGGGCAAAGUUUUACAAAUCUUGUGGUGAAAGAACCACCUCGAUGGAGGCGAUAGACGAGACAAAAAGGACACAAGAAAAAGAGAGUGGAAAAGAACCGCGGCUUAUAUAACUGUGUAACCUUUCAGUACAAAAGAAGGAACAAUGUCUCAAUAACGAAACAUUGUUCAAGUGCUUAUUAGACUUUUUGAUUAAAAACGAACGGAUGUGUCGUGCAUAGUAUUGGGCAACAUGUGACGCAGCUGAGAAUGUGUAAAAUGCAAACUGCUGAAUCCAUAAUGGAACCUUAUUUGUUUCCUUUCGGCCAAUAACCGAAUAAAGGACAAGUCGAGAGGAGACGCGCAGAGAGAAAAGAAAAGAUAUGACGUUCUUAUGCAUAUUGAUUUUUUUGUUCGGCCGAACAAAGAAGAGACGAACCGAGGCGAACCGAGACGAAAAACACAAAGAAAAAUAGGAGCCAUUCCAUUUCCACUCAUCGAGGUCUAUUAGCUUGAAACGUUUUGUUUACCGGCAGCCUAAACGAUUUCAUGUAUACAACACAAAAUGAAACGAUUGAUCGACAAAUUCAAUAAGAAUCCAUCAAGUCUUGCAUAUAUUGCCUAUGCAAACAUUAAUUUCAGUCCUUUAACCAAGACAGUCUGUGAGAUGCAUUUGGCCAAUAAGUAUUUAAUAUACUUUUUCUUUCCCAACGACGUAUGGCCAGAAGGCGUGCCGUCGCUAAAAUUUUCAAAGUCAAUCCUUAUUAUACGAAAUUUGAUUUGAGCUUGUAAGAAAACUGAGAGUAGCAUAUGCUGACCAGUAGAUUCAAUGUGUGGAUCAAUGGAUAUCAACAAGCAUAGUCCACUAUGUCUUGUUGUAGCACAUUAGUUUCAACGAAAUAAAUCAAGCCGCACUAUCUGAGAGGAUAUAGCAUAGACAGAGUAUAGAAGCUAAAGGACAUCGUAAGUAACAAGACUAGCUUGAGAAUCCGCCAUAUAUUAUACUUACAGUGUAUAGUACAUCUACGUGAAAGGUAUCCAAGCAACGCACAAUAAGUGAAUCUAUUAGGGCGAAUGAAAUCAUGUCGAUGAAAUCCUGUUUCAGGCAAUACCAAACUGGUAUACUGGGACCUAAUAUAUAGGCUACCUACAGCACUACCGCGUAUAUCUAUACAGCGUAGAUUUGAUUAGAUGGAGUAUACAUGCCAAAGGAAAAACACAGGCACGACCGUAAUCAAUAGGGCCAAUGGACAACGUCGUCAUGUAUCAGUCAUUCCGACCAACUGUUGGCACAGCUGAACCAAUGAGUUGAAGCAGUUUGUCAUUUUUAUGCCCGUCUUUGUGGAUAUUUCCAGAAACACAUGAACAAUUACGUCUGAUGGGUUACCCUGAAGCGUUAACUACAUGUGACGUCAGAAGUUUGCUCGUUUAGUUGGUGAAUAUCUGCCGACAGGCCGACACACAAUUGUGCGCGCAGCAAGAAGCCAAGUGGAACAAUUUCGUUACAUCACCGCGAUGGUUUACAUUGACGUAACUUUAACUGUUUCAAGAUGUUCUUCCCAGAAAUCCAGACAACAAUAUCCAGCAAUGGUUGGUGUAACACCGUGUGGCAAUUUGCAGGCCAUAAACAAAAGGUGAGCGGCGGUGGCGCCAGUGCGAGACUUUGGCGGCUUAAAUGGAGAUGAAUCGUGCUAUUGUACUACUAGCAGAUUGGUGGGGCUUCGAGGAGAACAGCAACUAGCAGGAUUCAAGUAAAUUGGCCCCACCAGUCGACGAUCAUCUUCUGGCCCAACCUGCGGAUCGCAUUGGAGACUGCUACCGGGUUUAAUAGCUUCAGAAUUCACUCUUCUAUUUAUAUCAAGACGCGUGAUGAAUCCUAGAGUUCGUUGAUUUUGAUAGUGUCCAUCUCUCUUCACAUAGGGCUCCUCUACGCUCUUCACGAUAUGCUGCCAGCCAAAACAGACGGCGAUGAUGACGCACCAUACAAGACGUCCGCUAUUGUUCGUGAUGCUCGAAAAGUAGUGACAGAGUACUCGGCAUCAGAUGACUAAUGAAUGUUGUAAUUGCCAACAAAACACGUCAAGCAUCUGCGUCAGCUGACAUCGAGAGUCUUUUUCUGUAUUACGACGUGCAGUGAACUAUUUGUUGGUGUUCAAGUUCUCGUGUAUCCGAAAGGACACAAUUGCUUUGGGGCGAAUUGUUUACUGAUACCCUUUAUUUUGGCUCACUUUUGCUCUCACUUGACAGAGACUAACACAUCUAGCGGUAGAACAGGAUGAGGAAAUUCUACGAGUAAACUCUGAAAUUGCUUUGCUAAAACAUCGGCAAUACAAAACAUCGGUAAUACAAAAACAUCGGUAAUACAAAAACAUCGAAAGCCAAUGGAAACCACGACCAUCACCAAAAGAUGUUGCAUUUGCCAACGGAUGUGUUCAGCCCGUUGUCCAGCAGGCGGUCUCCGCUGGAGUUGAUCCAAUUUUCGUUCAACACCCUGCACGAAGGCAUAAUCGAGCACAACAUGACACGGCCUUGACAAGUGUGAAUCGACAGACAUGCAAUCACAAUUUGUAUUCGCGAGAAGAAGAAUUACAACAGCAAAGUAAUCGAUUGGA